rnacentral:rRNA from 1 species
CUCGUAGGCGGUUCGUCGCGUCCGGUGUGAAAGUCCAUCGCUUAACGGUGGAUCUGCGCCGGGUACGGGCGGGCUGGAGUGCGGUAGGGGAGACUGGAAUUCCCGGUGUAACGGUGGAAUGUGUAGAUAUCGGGAAGAACACCAAUGGCGAAGGCAGGUCUCUGGGCCGUUACUGACGCUGAGGAGCGAAAGCGUGGGGAGCGAACA